AAGUCGUAACAAGGUUUCCGUAGGUGAACCUGCGGAAGGAUCAUUAUUGAAUGAAAUUGAGUGGGGUUGUCGCUGGGCCUUUUCACCGGGCAUGUGCACACCUCAUUCAACCUCUCUACACCUCUGUGCACUUCUCAUGGGUUGGGCUGCGUCUGAAAUAUUGACAUGGCCCCUCUCAUGUGUUUUAUACAAACUAUACAUGUCCUAGAAUGUCUAUACAAUGCGUAAAAGCAUAUAAUACAA
rnacentral:misc_RNA from 1 species